rnacentral:rRNA from 1 species
GGAAUUACUGGGCGUAAAGCGAGCGUAGGUGGCUUGAUAAGUCAGAUGUGAAAUCCCCGGGCUUAACCUGGGAACUGCAUCUGAUACUGUUAAGCUAGAGUAGGUGAGAGGGAAGUAGAAUUCCAGGUGUAGCGGUGAAAUGCGUAGAGAUCUGGAGGAAUACCGAUGGCGAAGGCAGCUUCCUGGCAUCAUACUGACACUGAGGCUCGAAAGCGUGGGUAGCAAACAGGAUUAGAUACCCUGGUAGUCCACGCCGUAAACGAUGUCUACUAGUCGUUGGGUCCCUUGAGGACUUAGUGACGCAGCUAACGCAAUAAGUAGACCGCCUGGGGAGUACGGCCGCAAGGUUAAAACUCAAAUGAAUUGACGGGGGCCCGCACAAGCGGUGGAGCAUGUGGUUUAAUUCGAUGCAACGCGAAGAACCUUACCUGGUCUUGACAUACACAGAAUCUUGUAGAGAUACGAGAGUGCCUUCGGGAAUUGUGAUACAGGUGCUGCAUGGCUGUCGUCAGCUCGUGUCGUGAGAUGUUGGGUUAAGUCCCGCAACGAGCGCAACCCUUGUCCUUAGUUACCAGCGGGUUAAGCCGGGAACUCUAAGGAUACUGCCAGUGACAAACUGGAGGAAGGCGGGGACGACGUCAAGUCAUCAUGGCCCUUACGACCAGGGCUACACACGUGCUACAAUGGUAGGUACAGAGGGCAGCUACACAGCGAUGUGAUGCGAAUCUCAAAAAGCCUAUCGUAGUCCAGAUUGGAGUCUGCAACUCGACUCCAUGAAGUAGGAAUCGCUAGUAAUCGCGGAUCAGAAUGCCGCGGUGAAUACGUUCCCGGGCCUUGUACACACCGCCCGUCACACCAUGGGAGUUGAUUGCACCAGAAGUGGUUAGCCUAACUUAGUGAGGGCG